rfam:Schistosoma margrebowiei strain Zambia genome assembly, scaffold: SMRZ_scaffold0000410
AUCCAGCUGACGAGUCCCAAACAAGACGAAACGCGCGUCCUGGAU